rnacentral:sRNA from 1 species
CCGUCUCAUUCUAAAAAUAUAACGUAAAUAUACUGACGAUUUCAAGCUUUAUUAUACACAUUUCUCGUUUUUGAUAUUCCGUCGAAUGUUACUAGCUAGAUAGAACCCUCAGCCCUUGGCACAUAAUUUUGUCCGAUAAAUGAAUUAAUUUUCUACUUGACAGGCUUGUUUUAAAUACUUGUUUUCCUGCUACCACAAUUGCUUAGUUUGUUUUUGCCUUCAUGGUGCCUUAACAACAAUAUAGCGUCUCGUAUGAUGCUUAGCCCACUUCACCCCCUAUAUUUCAACAGUUCAAAGACUUGAGGCUAAAAUGAUUUAAUUUUCAUUAUUUUUGGUAAAAAAUUAAAAUAACCCCUUGUCUUAGAAUGGGUUAAUCCUUCAAGGAUUGGAAACCACAUUCCUCAAUUAUGAUUUUGCGCCGAAUAUUAUUAGCUAGAUACAUAUACAUAUCUCUCAGCGGAUCCACAAUGACUGUGCAAAUUCCGAAAGCGUGAAUCAGCAAAAAGGCGAUGAGCCAAUACCAGAGUCAGUGGUGCAGGACAGUGAGUCGCUGGGAUCACUCAUGUACCUUGUCCUAGACACAAAAGUUGCCCAUGCACCACAACAUAUUUGCGAAGGAUUUCACGACAGCUAUGCUGCCUGGAUAACCGUCGACUAUCCAUCCGUACAUUAUACUCAAGGAGCUGGUUGACAAUCUGAGGCGCCACAUGGUUUGUGCCAUUCGAUUUCUAAGCACAAUAUUUGAUGAGAGUCUGGAAAUCCAAGCUGAAUCCUCGGCCAUACCAAUCUACUACCACUCCGACCUGAAUGCCGUUUAUCCCGAGGAGUGUUUGCUGCGAGGUCCCGGAGCCAGCGGCGGGUAACACGGGAUUUAUCCAAAGCAUUCAAUGCAUUCGCGUAGUACAUACAUACAUAUGUACAUACAAAUGCCAAGCCACUGCACCGCGGCCAAAACGAAGUACAACACACGGCCACAACGAAAUAUCUAAUUAUGUAGAUACAUAUAUUCAUCCACCCACCGCAUCCACCUGGUACCAGUGGAUGUUUACUGUAUGAAGAACCUUAACGCUGCCUCAUACCGAAUUGUAUUUUUGAGACUGCAAUAAAAUUAAGCGAUGCGAGUAUGUAUUUAUAAUCUGAUUGCGUUUCCGUUC